AAUCAAAAAUAGUAAAAAAUACUGUUCUGGUGGUGGCAGCUGUGGCAUUCCUCUGUGGGAAAGGAAUUGUUACCUGAUUAAAUACCUCUUUCUUAGCAAAACAGAAAGUGGAUAUGUAUGUGACAAACACAA